rnacentral:rRNA from 1 species
GAUGAACGCUGGCGGCGUGCUUAACACAUGCAAGUCGAACGGAAAGGCUCCUGCUUGCCGGGGUACUCGAGUGGCGAACGGGUGAGUAACACGUGGGUGAUCUGCCCUGCACUUCGGGAUAAGCCUGGGAAACUGGGUCUAAUACCGGAUAGGACCACAUUUUGGAUGGUGUGGUGGAAAGUUUUUCGGUGUGGGAUGAGCUCGCGGCCUAUCAGCUUGUUGGUGGGGUAAUGGCCUACCAAGGCGUCGACGGGUAGCCGGCCUGAGAGGGUGUACGGCCACAUUGGGACUGAGAUACGGCCCAGACUCCUACGGGAGGCAGCAGUGGGGAAUAUUGCACAAUGGGCGCAAGCCUGAUGCAGCGACGCCGCGUGGGGGAUGACGGCCUUCGGGUUGUAAACUCCUUUCGCUAGGGACGAAGAGCAAGUGACGGUACCUGGAGAAGAAGCACCGGCUAACUACGUG